GAGCAAGUAUAUUUCUAUCUAGAUUUAGCAAUAGAUGCCUACUCUUUUCUGAAUGAACAGAAAAUUUGGUUUUCCAUCUCAGAAUUGAGUUGUUUCUUGUUCCCUGUAGUUUAGUGUGCACUAUUAAGCCAGUUGAGAAAAAAAUAUCUUUAUUCAGUAAUUCACAAGUUUGCACUGGCUGAUUUCUGCGCAUGUCUUUUUUGUUGAGAUUUCAUCUUCACUUCUUUAUCAAUCGGUCAUUGGUUUGCUAGGAUCACCACACUAUCAUCCGAAUUGUUGUUUUUCUAAAACAAAUAAAUUAAAAAAAUACAUGUCCAUGAUAUUACUGUCUCCUUUUAUAUAAUCUGCUUUUGUAGAAACAUUUAAAAUACACAUAUUAAUGGAAGCCAUUUUAUUAGUGAUAAAUUGGUCAAAUUUUUAUUUUUUUAUUAGUGAUAGCAGAGUAGUGAGAUAACUUGCAUUGCUCAAGUAGUAUGUACCUGUCUCCAGUCUCUUUCACACUUGUUAGACCGAUCAUGCCUGCACCACCUGUAGUGUGGUGAGUGUUUGCUGAUAGCCUAAGAUAGCCUCCACUUCACCUUGCGUCUUCCACUUGAAAACAAUUCAGCACCACUUUGUAUAGUCACUCACCAUUGAGGCUUAAUCUAUGACUUUGCAGUGCAGGGUACUGGAAGGUUGAGCUAGUAUGUUACUCAGUGGGUUUGACUCUGCCACUUAUCCUAUUGCCAUCGCCGGAGAUUUGAGACGAUACUGAUUCUUGUAUGGCAAAGAAUGCGCUUUCGCCGAAAAGUCCAGAGAAAGGCGUCCAAGUAUAUUGUAUUGCUGUGCCAAGAAAGGAGCAAGUAUGGCGCGCGUGUCCUGGGAGUGAGUACAUACAUGAUAGAAUGGUCCAAAAGACCAAACCUGCACGCAUCACGGCAUCAGGGAAGCAUCUUGGAGAUGGAGGUGAGCAUACUAUUAUUCUGCGAGCGAAACGAAGCUGCUUUGUAUUUGGAACUAACUUCAUCGGUGCUCGUAGUGGAGUGUGGGGCAGGAGUAAGAUACAGUUAACGUCACCCGGAUCAGCUUCCAUUGGUUUGUGUGCUUGUUGGAAGAGCAGGUGACACUAGGAAAGGAAAUCUAAUGGAAUCCCCCGUCCUGGGGGAUAACAUUUUGGCUUUGGAAGUACACUUGUUGUCCACUACUAAACUCAUGCACUAGCAGUUGUGAUUAGUGUGCUUCUUAAUUGAGAUUUGCUGAUAAGAUCAGAUUCAGUCCCAAGAGAAGCCAAGGGGAGAUGCCUGUUUUCUAGGAACAAGUCUCAAGGAUCCUGACCAGAACCAAUUUACCUGACGUGUGUUCCGCCUAGAUAUGGACGCCCACUUUGUUUUCUCUUGUUGCAUAUAGUUUUACUAUUCUGAAUCAUGUUUACACUGUAGGAUUCCACGUGAACAAAAAAUUAUGCAUGGUUUCCCAGGCAGAAAAAAAAGAUUACAACUUCUUUUCGCUAUUAAUUCACUUGUAAAUAUGCAUACAGAAGAAAAGGUGAGAAUAAUUGUCGAAAAUUGGGAUGAUUUUGUUAGUCUUGCAUCCUACUAAUAAUUUUCUCUAUCUAUCAAGCUAAGAGUAGGUGCUCUGAUAGUCAGACUACUUUCUAGUCCCUAGGAUAAACAAUGAAGAACAAAGUGGGGUUGAACUCUAAACAAGAGGCUAGGACUUGGCAAUGAUUGCAACAACCAUUUGUAACCAAAAUGGGCAUCACCUUCACAGGUCAUGCAGCCCUAUCACCUUCCUGAAUUCUUUAUCGACCACUGGGCUCAUGACAAAACCUUUUAUAUUUUUUCUUUUCUCCUGGCAUUAACCUUGCAGCAUGAGAACAAAAGGAAGAGCAGAGGUCAAGCGGAUUAUUGCGGGGAGGGAAUCCAUCAAGGUGACACCUUACCAGACCUCCCAUCCCUGGUGUUUUUUGGAAGAAACAAUCUGUUUUUGUACUACUGGCCUGAGAAAUUGUGACACCAACUAAGAGCAAGAACAGUAUUGCAUAGAUGUAACUGGGCAGAGUAAGACAGGUAGAGGUACCCGCCUGCCUGCCUGCCUAGAAAGAGCUGAUACCGUUGUUUCGAUUCGACUUUCAGCCAAUUAUUUGCAAAGUUGCUGCUGUGUGCAAUUUUGUUUCCAGGGGAGCCCACAAAAAUAGACUCCAAAUUGGAGAGAGCUUAUAAUAUUUGGCAACAAUUGGGAGAUCUGUCAUAGAAAGCAUCGCCUAUAAAGUGCUUCCAAAUUAGUA